rnacentral:pre_miRNA from 1 species
AAUUUAUUCCCUUAGUCCAACAAAAAAUGUCUCAAGUUCGUUAAAAUUUAGAUGUAUCUAGACAUGACUUACUGUAUAAAUGCAUUUAAAUUUAAUCAAAGUUGAGAAAUCAUUUGUUGGACGGAGGAAGUAUGAU